rnacentral:rRNA from 1 species
GACGAACGCUGGCGGCGUGCUUAACACAUGCAAGUCGAACGGUGAAGCGCCUUCCUUUUUGGUGGGUGUGGAUGAGUGGCGAACGGGUGAGUAACACGUGAGUAACCUGCCCCCUUCUUCUGGAUAACCGCAUGAAAGUGUGGCUAAUACGGGAUAUUCUGGGUCUGUCGCAUGAUGGGUCUGGGAAAGAUAUUGUUUCGGUGGGGGAUGGGCUCGCGGCCCAUCAGCUUGUUGGUGGGGUGAUGGCCUACCAAGGCGGUGACGGGUAGCCGGCCUGAGAGGGUGGACGGUCACACUGGGACUGAGACACGGCCCAGACUCCUACGGGAGGCAGCAGUGGGGAAUAUUGCACAAUGGGCGCAAGCCUGAUGCAGCGACGCCGCGUGAGGGAUGGAGGCCUGCGGGUUGUGAACCUCUUUCGCCAGUGAAGCAGGCCUGCCUCGUUUGUGGGUGGGUUGACGGUAGCUGGAGAAGAAGCGCCGGCUAACUACGUG